rnacentral:tRNA from 1 species
CGAAGUAGCUCAGGGGUAGAGCACUUCCUUGGUAAGGAAGAGGUCAUGGGUUCAAAUCCCAUCUUUG